AAAUUGAAGAGUUUGAUCAUGGCUCAGAUUGAACGCUGGCGGCAGGCCUAACACAUGCAAGUCGAACGGUAACAGGAAUCAGCUUGCUGAUUCGCUGACGAGUGGCGGACGGGUGAGUAAUGUCUGGGAAACUGCCUGAUGGAGGGGGAUAACUACUGGAAACGGUAGCUAAUACCGCAUAACGUCGCAAGACCAAAGAGGGGGAGCUUCGGGCCUCUUGCCAUCGGAUGUGCCCAGAUGGGAUUAGCUUGUUGGUGGGGUAACGGCUCACCAAGGCGACGAUCCCUAGCUGGUCUGAGAGGAUGACCAGCCACACUGGAACUGAGACACGGUCCAGACUCCUACGGGAGGCAGCAGUGGGGAAUAUUGCACAAUGGGCGCAAGCCUGAUGCAGCCAUGCCGCGUGUAUGAAGAAGGCCUUCGGGUUGUAAAGUACUUUCAGCGGGGAGGAAGGGAGUAAAGUUAAUACCUUU
rnacentral:rRNA from 1 species